UUUUUUGAGAAUUUGAUCCUGGUUCAGGAUGAAUGCUGGCGGCGUGCCUUAAGCAUGCAAGUCGAACGGGAAGGUCCGCAAGGACCAACCAGUGGCAGACGGGUGAGUAACGCGUAGGAAUCUACCCCUAGGAGGAGGAUAGCCCACCGAAAGGUGGGGUAAUACUCCAUAGUCUCGUAAGAGUAAAGGACUUAACGGUCCACCAAGGGAGGAGCCUGCGUCCUAUCAGCUAGUUGGCGGGGUAAAGGCCCACCAAGGCGAUGACGGGUAGCUGGACUGAGAGGUCGAUCAGCCACAACUGCACUGAGAUACGGGCAGUACACCUACGGGUGGCAGCAACUGGGAAUAUUGCGCAAUGGACGAAAGUCUGACGCAGCGACGCCGCGUGGAGGAUGAAGGCCUUCGGGUUGUAAACUCCUUUUACUAAGCCGUUCACAGCUUAGAGAAUAAGCUCCUACUAACUACGUGCCAGAAGUCUCGGUAAUACGUAGGGAGCAAGCAUUAUCCGGAUUUAUUGGGCGUAAAGUGUGCGUAGGCGUUCUUCAUAGUCGUUUCUUAAAGACUGGGGCUCAACCCCGGGAGUGGUUACGAUACUGGAAGAAUUGAGGAUUUAUAGGGAAGCUGGAACAGUAUGUGUAGCAGUGAAAUGCGUUGAUAUAUACUGGAACACCGAUGGCGAAGGCAGGCUUCUGGGUAUUUCCUGACGCUGAGGCACGAAAGCUAGGGUAGCGAAACAGAUUAGAGACCUGUGUAGUCCUAGCCGUAAACGAUGUCCGCUAGCUAUUCUCUCACGAAGUGCAUAAGCACUUGAUAAAUAUCAAAUACUACCAAUUUCAAAUAAAUACCAAUAUCCAAUACAUAUGUUUUGGAAAUUUGAUAUUUGAUAUUGGACAUUUGAAUUUACAAGCUUGUGCUUUUUGUGAGGGAGUGGUGUAAGCUAACGCGUUAAGCGGACCGCCUGGGGAGUACGGCCGCAAGGCUAAAACUCAAAGGAAUUGACGGGGACCCGCACAACCUGUGGAGCGUGUGGUUUAAUUCGAUACAAAGCGAAAAACCUUACCAGGGUUUGACAUCAUACCGUUUUAUACUUUUGGAAACAUUAGUAGAUCCGUAAGGAUGGUAUGACAGGUGCUGCAUGGCUGUCGUCAGCUCGUGCCGUGAGGUGUUCCCUUAAGUGGGGAAACGAGCGCAACCCCCAUGAAAUGUUAAAUAUUCAUUUCAGACUGCCCUGUUUUUACAGGGAGGAAGGAGGGGCAGAUGUCAAGUCAGCAUGGCCCUUAUACCCUGGGUUACACACACACUACAAUGGCGAAAAACAACGAGUUGCAAGCUGGUAACAGCAAGCUAAUCUCUCAAAUUUCGCCUCAGUUCAGAUUGAGGUCUGCAACCCGACCUCAUGAAGUCGGAAUAGGUAGUAAUCGCGGAUCAGCAUGCCGCGGUGAAUACGUUCUCGGGUCUUGUACACACCGCCCGUCAAGGCAGCAAAGUCAGGGGUGGAUGAAUACUCCUUUGGGGUAGAGUCCAAAUUUGGCGAUGAGGCUUAAGUCGUAACAAGGUAUCCCUUGCCGAAGCAGGGGAUGGAUCACCUCCUUU
rnacentral:rRNA from 1 species